rnacentral:rRNA from 1 species
AAAAACAUAACUAUAUGAAUCUACUAUAUAUAGCUAUUUCUGCUCAAUGAUAAUUUUAAAUAGCCGCAGUAAUUUGACUGUGCUAAGGUAGCAUAAUCAAUUGACUUAUAAUUAAAGUCUGGUAUGAAGGAACACAUGGGGGUUUACUGUCUCCUGAGAGGCCUUUAAAAUUAAUUAUUGGGUGAAAAUGCCCAUUUAUAAAUAAUAGACGAGAAGACCCUAGAAAUUUUUAGUAGAAAGAUAAUUUUAUCUUUUUGUUUUUGUUGGGGCGACAUAGUAACAAAAGAAAACUUACUGUAUAAUAUGUGUCGAUUUUUUAAUAAGAAAAAAUAAAUUACUCUAGGGAUAACAGCAUAAUAUUUAAAAGUUUGUGACCUCGAUGUUGGAUUAGGGAAUAAUAACCCAGAAGGUGACUUAUUUAGCUCUGUUCGAGCAAAAUCCCCUACGUGAUCUGA